CAGAAUGGCCAGUUAAACAGCAAUGUGCAGAUCACUUACCGGAUAGAAUAGGCAUUACUAUGACAGUUGCUAAAGGACAUCUGAGAAAUUUAAGCAUGAUUAAUGUGAAAGGAUUUAGCAAAUAUGAAACUUUGUCGAGAGUUACAUGUAGGAUAAUGUCUAUAUUCAAACAUAAAUCCUUAAAAGCUGUGCUGAAGGAGCCUACGUCUGAGGAAAUGGAAGAAGCAGAAGUACUGUGGGUAAAAACCAUGCAAAGUAACAUGACUAACUGGCAAGACAGAUACAGAAGGUUAGGCCCCAUAAUGACAGACAAUGGAGUAAUUUUAGUGGGUCAAAGAAUAUCAAAAUGGUUAAAGGAAAACUGGAAUCAAGAUCACUUCAUGUUGAUACCAGCUAACCACCCAGUUACUAGACUGUAUGUGUCCAGCUUACAUAGUAGAGAUCAUGCAGGUAUUGAAACCACCUUGGCCAAGUUACAGAGUAAGUUUUGGGUGCCGGGAGCCAGGAAAUUAAUAAAGUCAAUUAAAGAUAAAUGUGUCACAUGUAGAAAACUCUCAAAACAAACUGAGAACCAGUGUAUGGGUCAGGUGUUAGAAGAAAGAAUGAAGCCAACUCCACCAUUCUAUCAUACUGCUGUCGAUUUGUUUGGACCAUUCAAUAUUAAGGACACUGUUAAAAGGAGAACUCAUGGUAAGGUAUAUGGGGUAAUAUUCAACUGCUUAGUUACUAGGGCAGUUUAUGUAGAUUUGGCAGAAGGAUAUAGUGCAAGUGAUUUCAUGGCAACUUAUCAAAGAUUCAUCUCAGUCAGGGGUGCACCCAGAAUACUGUAUUCUGACAGAGGGAGCCAGCUGAUAGCAGCUGGAAAGAAUAUUGAAAGAAUUGGAAAAAAUGAAGGAGUUACUUGGAAAUAUAAUAGACCUAGUGAUGCACCAUGGUACAAUGGUGCCAGUGAAUCCCUUAUCAAAUCAGUGAAAAGAAAUCUUUGUAUUGCAAUUGGGGAUUCAGUAUUAACUUUUGGUGAACUUCAGACAGCCUUAUUUAAUGUAGCCAGUAUGAUGAAUGAAAGACCCAUAGGGGUAAAACCUUGCUUUAAUUUAGAACUUGGUAAUUACCUCUGCCCUAAUGAUCUAUUGCUUGGACGAGCUAGUGUAAAAUGUCCACAGGGAAUAUAUGAUUCAGAUGGAGACCAUAAAAGAAGAUUAGAGUUUAUUCAGAAAAUUGUUGAAUCAUUUUGGAGAAAAUGGCAGAGAGAUUUCUUUCCAACGAUGGUAGUAAGACAAAAAUGGCACACCAAUAGGAGAAAUGUAAGAGUGGGUGAUGUGGUUUUAGUUCAAGAUGCUAAUGCAGUUAGAGGUACCUGGAAAUUAGCUCAAGUAAUAAAGGCAGAUCCAGGUCGUGAUGGUGCUGUAAGAGAUGUAGACUUAAGGUAUAAGAUAGUCAAGGAAGGUAAAGGAUAUGAUGGGGUGACAGACAAAGUCAUGAGUAGGUCAGUGCAUAGGUUAAUAGUGUUAUUACCUAAGGAAGAACAAGAGUGAUGAUGAGCGUGUAGGAUCAUUAUAGAUAUGAUUUAUCUACAUGUACCAAAGCAUUCUAUGUACUACCUGUGUAUAUUGUAUGUUCACUUUGGUCGGGGUGGAGUGUAUCAUUAAAAUGAUAUGUUAACCAUCUAUUAUUUAUUUAUACAAUAUAUUUUUGUUAUCUGUGUUAAAGAAAAUGUAAGUUGUGUUCUAUUGGAAUAGGAGAAGUUUGGUACGCUUCUUUGUGGUGUUUUGUUUCACCCACUACCUGUGAACAUGGUCGGCCUGGCGGGUUGUCUAAGCCGGCCCACCAAUGUACUGUGGGUUGUUGUGUUGGGUAGUCCUCUGUGCUACAGACGGAGAAUGUAGGGACGCCCUGGACCUCAUGUCGGUUGGUGUGUUGGUUGGUCCUCCGUGCUACAGGUUAGUUGUGUUUAUUUACCCGUCAUGUGCUGUGAUUAGUAUAAUUUGGUGAAGGUUACAAAAUUAGGAUGUAUUAGUAAGAUAGGGUAAUGUACAAGGGAUAUAUUGUUGCCAGACAGAGUUGUGAGGACGCCCUGGACUGGAUGAUAGUUGGGGUGACAUGUCAGGUGUGCUACGGGGAUUCGAAGAGCGUCAGUGUGGGCCACUGAAGUGAGUACAUUAUGGGAAUUUAUUGAGUAUUAUGAGUGAUAUACAAGUGAAGUUUAGUUGGAUUUUGUAUACUGAUUGUUGCUUUAUUUUUAUAUUUGGGAUAUGAUUGUAACGGAUGUCAGAAUCUCUACAUGAAGUGUUAUUUUCUUGGUACCAUUGUGAGGGAUUGAACUGGGUGUACUAUGAUAUGUGGAUGUGUAUUGAUUUGCCCAUGUUUGCAGGUCGAAACACUUCAAGCAAUAAACACCUGUUACGA